rnacentral:rRNA from 1 species
GACGAACGCUGGCGGCGUGCCUAAUACAUGCAAGUCGAGCGGACAGAUGGGAGCUUGCUCCCUGAAGUCAGCGGCGGACGGGUGAGUAACACGUGGGCAACCUGCCUGUAAGACUGGGUUAACUUCGGGAAACCGGAGCUAAUACCGGAUACGUUCUUUUCUCGCAUGAGAGAAGAUGGAAAGAUGGUUUCGGCUAUCACUUACAGAUGGGCCCGCGGCGCAUUAGCUAGUUGGUGAGGUAAUGGCGCACCAAGGCGACGAUGCGUAGCCGACCUGAGAGGGUGAUCGGCCACACUGGGACUGAGACACGGCCCAGACUCCUACGGGAGGCAGCAGUAGGGAAUCUUCCGCAAUGGACGAAAGUCUGACGGAGCAACGCCGCGUGAACGAUGAAGGCCUUCGGGUCGUAAAGUUCUGUUUUUAGGGAAGAACAAGUACCAGAGUAACUGCUGGUACCUUGACGGUACCUAACCAGAAAGCCACGGCUAACUACGUGCCAGCCGCCGCAGUAAAAC